UGACGUUGGGCCCCCGUGAUACAUCUGGGAGGAAGAUACUAAGACAAAUGAGGAAACCAGGAUGCAGAGAUGUCAUGCAGCCUGCCUAGAACGACUCCAGGUUAAUGAGAGGCAAUUGGAACGCUGAAUCCACAGCCUGUACUUUUAAGGAGGAAGGACUUUUCAAGGAAGGAGGACAGAGGGGUACAAAGAAUUGCGCUCAGAUCUCUCUAGAAGUGAAGAAGCCUAUUGUUCCGCCGCCCGCUCCCCACCUACCUGCACAUAUGGCGGAGCCUGG
rnacentral:lncRNA from 1 species